rnacentral:rRNA from 1 species
AACGAACGCUGGCGGCAUGCCUAACACAUGCAAGUCGAACGAGACCUUCGGGUCUAGUGGCGCACGGGUGCGUAACGCGCGGGAACCUGCCCUUAGGUUCGGAAUAACUCCCCGAAAGGGGUGCUAAUACCGGAUAAUGUCUUCGGACCAAAGAUUUAUCGCCUUUGGAUGGGCCCGCGUUGGAUUAGCUAGUUGGUAGGGUAAAAGCCUACCAAGGCGACGAUCCAUAGCUGGUCUGAGAGGAUGAUCAGCCACACUGGGACUGAGACACGGCCCAGACUCCUACGGGAGGCAGCAGUGGGGAAUAUUGGACAAUGGGCGAAGGCCUGAUCCAGCAAUGCCGCGUGAGUGAUGAAGGCCUUAGGGUUGUAAAGCUCUUUUACCCGGGAUGAUAAUGACGGUACCGGGAGAAUAAGCUCCGGCUAACUCCGUG